rnacentral:pre_miRNA from 1 species
UGAGUACCGCCAUGUCUGUUGGGCAUCCACAGUCUCCCACCAGGCACUGUGGUCUCCGC